GGCUUAGAAGAAGAGCGUGGAGUCAGCACUGAAGGGAGGUGCUGUGCAGUGCCUGUGGGGCAGGCGCACGCUGAGCCUGGCAGCGCUUCCCACGGCGGAACCCAUCAAUUAUGUCCAUUAAUCUCUUAAAGUGAGUGAUUCUUGAUUGUUCUAACACAGCACCAAAGACUAAUGCUGAGGACAGCCCUGAGCUCCACCUCACACUCUGCCCUCCGGACCGAGCUCCAGCCAGGGUGCUUGGAACUGCCCUGGUGUGCACACCAAGCUGCGCAUCCAUGAUGAAGAAGUAGAGGCAACAAUGUAAAAGCCUUUAUGCUGUAAUUUUAAAGAUCAUAAACUUCAGGCAGUAAUAUUUUCUGGGUCCAGAGCUGUGCUUCUAAAGCAGGUCGUGUUGAGCUGGGUGUGGUGGCACACACCUGUAAUCCCAGCGCUCAAGACGCUGAGACAGGAGGAUUGUUGCAAGUUCAAGAUCAGCUUGGGCUACAAAGUGAGCUCAAAUCCAGCCUGAACUGCAUAGUGAGGCCUUGUCUCAAAAAGACAAAAAAACACAAACACUGGAUUGUGCUGAAAAUUACAUGGCAAUCACGAUGAACUGCCAAUGCUGAGUUGGUGAACCUAUAUUCUGUGCUUGUAGGAGGUUAAUAAGUGAAGCUGAUGCUGUUUGCCCAAGAUUUCUUUUUGAACAGCAAGGUCUAGAGAAUUAAAAGUUAGACUUGUAUAAACAUGGGCCAUUGUAAACCACAGUAGUCUAGAAAAGUUUAAUUUUUAAAAAAAGUGAUACGUUUAGCCUGUUGAAAUAAAACCCAGGAGGACCCUAAGGGUUCUCAGCUCUGUUCUUCUUGUGAGGAACAUGAUCUAAAGAUUUCCUUUUGUUUAUUGGUGUAUCAAUUUUCUUAUUCUCCAGUUGGUGUGAUAUCUUUUACCCCCAAGAAACCUAGCACAUUUAUUUUGCUGAAUGAGGGCAGAUAAGGGUUAUGACUGUUAUUUGGAAAAAUGAAUUAGAGAGCAAAAAGCUUGAAAAGGUUAUAUUACUGGGAAAUGCAUUGAAUGAGAAUAAGAUCAGGUUGAAAUCAAGAAUGAAUCAGUGGAACAUGGACUGUUAAGCGUUUGAUGAGAUUUCUUAGACACUGACAUGCGGGUAACCCGACAAGAGGAAUGGGAGAAAAGGUCAGUUUGAAUCUUUAAAUGAUUUGGGAAACUGGGAGUAAGAAAUAGUAUAUCACAGACUUGUACUAAAAUUUUUAUUUAUUUUAUGGGGGAAAUAGAUCAGAAGUUGAGUAUGAAAGAAGUUUCUUUAUUUGCAGUUUUUAAAACUAGAAGAAAUUGGGGUUGCAGAGAGGACAACUAGAUACCAAUUCCUUCCACAGUACAGGGUGAGAGACAAAAAGAACCAGGGUUACACACACACACACACACUCUCACACACACACACACACACUCUCACACACACACACACACACACACACACACACACACACACACACAGAGCCUACUAUGAGCAGCCGGCUAAUCUGGAGAAACAGAGGCUGAGAUGAUAGCUAUUGAGGUAAAAUACAACUUACUGCUUACAGUGUUUGGUGUUUCAUUGGCUUUGAAGGCCUGAAGCUGGUAGUCUGAUCAUCUAUUCAGAGGUUAACAAUACACAGGACAGCAUCUAUGGGGAAUCUCCUUCUGAAGGUGGUAGCUAUUGUUAAUUCCCUAUUAUCUUCUUUUAAAGCCCUGUAUCAUUUUCAUUAUUUUGUUUGAUAUAGUUUUAUUCUGUUUUGUCUUGUUUGAUUUUGUUAUAUCUAAAGGCAAGGGCAGCGAUUUCAAAGAUAACAAAAUAUAUUAUGGUAGCUACUUUGGAUUUACUAUUAUUUUGUUUUGAAGUCCUGUAUUGCAUUCAUUGUUUUGUUUUUAUUGAUUCUAUUCUGUUCUGUUUUGUUUGAUUUUACUGUGUCUGAUGGUAUGGACAACUGUUCUGAAGACAAGAGGCAUCAUGGUAACCACUGUUGAUUUCCUAUUAUCUUGUUUUGAAACCCUGUAUCAUUUACAUUGUUUUGUUUUGAUUGGCUUUAUUUUGUUUUAUUUUGCUUGGUUUUAUUUUCUUUAAAAUAAAUUUUUUUUUAAAAAUGA